UACGUAGGUGGCAAGCGUUGUCCGGAUUUACUGGGUGUAAAGGGCGUGUAGCCGGGUCGGCAAGUCAGAUGUGAAAUCUGGAGGCUCAACCUCCAAACUGCAUUUGAAACUGUUGAUCUUGAGUAUCGGAGAGGUAAUCGGAAUUCCUAGUGUAGCGGUGAAAUGCGUAGAUAUUAGGAGGAACACCAGUGGCGAAGGCGGAUUACUGGACGACAACUGACGGUGAGGCGCGAAAGCGUGGGGAGCAAACAGG
rnacentral:rRNA from 1 species